AAGUGCGGAGGAAGGAGCAGGAAGAAUAAAGAGGCUGAUGAGGAGGGCAGAGGGGAGCUGAACAGUUAACUGUGUGGAGUUGCGGGAGCAAAUGAAAGGUCCUGGAUGGGAAGAGCAGUUCAUCGGAAAAACUAAAGAAGUGUUAGCAAGUCAGGGCUCUGAAAUCCCUGAGGAAUUUAGCUGCCUCGGGCUAAGCCCUGUUCUGUUUCUAAAAGCCGUGGGUUUCAGAGCAUGUCAGCUGCGGAAGGGAAUGGACUGGAAUCUGGGAGUGUGUCACAUGGGAGAAGACAAGAGUCAUUGCCAAGGAGUCCUCCACCUGGGAGGAGAGACCGAAUUUCAGCCUAAGGUGACAAAGCACUGAAGUGUUCCAAGGGAGAUGAAUGCAUAAGCCCGUGAGGAAGAGGAGAGAGUCAGUCAUGGCUGGAAGAGGAAGAAGGAGGUGCCCCAGCUGAACCAUAUGAAAGGACAUCUGACUUCUGGGAGGGGACAACAGGGGAAAUUUUGACAUGAGGCAUACUGGGAAGGAGGACUCUUUCUUUCUUUUUUUUUAACUGUGGAAUUCUGCCCCCACUGCCACACACAACCACAUAUGCACUCACACCUACGCAAACCACACACACAUACUCAUAUUCACACUUCUUUCCCCUAGUCCCAACUCUGUCUUUGCAUCAAAAUCACCCAGAGCUUUAAAUAAAAUACAGAUGCUGAGGCUUCUCAGAUAUACUAAA